rnacentral:rRNA from 1 species
GGAUUCCCCUAGUAACGGCGAGUGAAGCGGGAAGAGCUCAAAUUUUAAAUCUGGCGUCUUCGGGCGUCCGAGUUGUAAUCUAGAGAAGCGUUUUCGCGCCGGACCUACCAUAAGUUACCUCGAACGGUGCAUCAUAGAGGGUGAGAAUCCCGUAUGUUGGUGGGUGCUCCGGUGCAUGUGAUGCGCUCUCGACGAGUCGAGUUGUUUGGGAAUGCAGCUCAAAACGGGAGGUAAAUUCCUUCUAAAGCUAA